rnacentral:rRNA from 1 species
GACGAACGCUGGCGGCGUGCCUAACACAUGCAAGUCGAGCGAGUGAAUCUCCUUCGGGAGUGAAGCUAGCGGCGGACGGGUGAGUAACACGUGGGCAACCUGCCUCAUAGAGGGGAAUAGCCUUUGGAAAGGAAGAUUAAUACCGCAUAAGAUUGUAGCUUCGCAUGAAGUAGCAAUUAAAGGAGCAAUCCGAUAUGAGAUCGGGCCGCGGCGCAUUAGCUAGUUGGGGAGGUAACGGAUCACCAAGGCGACGAUGCGUAGCCGACAUGGGAGGGUGAUCGGCAACAUUGGGACUGAGACACGGCCCAGACUCCUAAGGGAGGCAGCAGUGGGGAAUAUUGCACAAUGGGGGAAACCCUGAUGCAGCAACGCCGCGUGAGUGAUGACGGCCUUCGGGUUGUAAAGCUCUGUCUUCAGGGACGAUAAUGACGGUACCUGAGGAGGAAGCCACGGCUAACUACGUGCCAGCCGCCGCAGUAA